AGAUGCUACUGCUGUCAGACCUCCCCCUGUGAAUGUUCUUGCUUGUGAAAAAUCAGCAGUCUUGGAAAGGAAGGUGUGACCAGAGCUUGCCUUUUGGGGGAGAAGCCAGGCUGUGUGGCAUUUUUCAUCAAACUAUGAGAUGAGAUAAAAAGAGGACUGCAGGUAACUCAGUGGCAGAGUGAAGUAAUGGAUUGCUAAGUGAUUCUUUCCUGCAUGAAAUAUUCAGACUCAGCUAUGUCUAUAUCAGUAGUGCUUUCUGUUCCCAUCAUCCACUUUUCUGAGGUUUAUCCAUGUUCUGCAGAGCUCAUUGAGUCAGAGGUUUUAUCACCUCAUGUUAUCACAUCUCCCACAGACAGCCAACAGUCACUUGAUGUCUCCUCCUACUUGUUGCCGACUUCAGACCAUUUCAGUGUGGUUUUUUGUCAUCACUGGAUUGGA